UCCAGACUCCUACGGGAGGCAGCAGUGGGGAAUAUUGCACAAUGGGGGAAACCCUGAUGCAGCGACGCCGCGUGAGCGAAGAAGUAUUUCGGUAUGUAAAGCUCUAUCAGCAGGGAAGAAAAAAAUGACGGUACCUGAGUAAGAAGUACCGGCUAAAUACGUGCCAGCAGCCGCGGUAAUACGUAUGGUGCAAGCGUUAUCCGGAUUUACUGGGUGUAAAGGGAGCGUAGGCGGCGCGUUAAGUCUGAUGUGAAAACCCGAGGCUCAACCACGGGAGUGCAUUGGAAACUGGCGGGCUGGAGUGCCGGAGAGGUAAGCGGAAUUCCUAGUGUAGCGGUGAAAUGCGUAGAUAUUAGGAGGAACACCAGUGGCGAAGGCGGCUUACUGGACGGCAACUGACGCUGAGGCUCGAAAGCGUGGGGAGCAAACAGGAUUAGAUACCCCGGUA
rnacentral:rRNA from 1 species